GUCCUAAGGUAGCGAAAUUCCUUGUCGGGUAAGUUCCGACCCGCACGAAAGGCGUAACGAUUUGGGCACUGUCUCAACAACAGACUCGGUGAAAUUGUAAUUCCGGUGAAGAUGCCGGAUACCUGCGACAGGACGGAAAGACCCCAUGGAGCUUUACUGUAGCUUGACAUUGGGUCUUGGUACUACAUGUACAGGAUAGGUGGGAGGCUUUGAAACCAGGACGCCAGUUUUGGCGGAGCCAUCCUUGGGAUACCACCCUUGUAGUACUGGGACUCUAACCAUAGGCCAUGAAUCUGGUCUUGGGACACUGUCAGGUGGGCAGUUUGACUGGGGCGGUCGCCUCCCAAAAGGUAACGGAGGCGCUCAAAGGUUCUCUCAGUACGGUCGGAAAUCGUACGUAGAGUGUAAAGGCAAAAGAGAGCUUGAUUGCAAGACAUACAGGUCGAGCAAGGAUGAAAAUCGGACUUAGUGAUCCGGUGGUUCUGCGUGGAAGGGCCAUCGCUCAACGGAUAAAAGCUACCCUGGGGAUAA
rnacentral:rRNA from 1 species